AGCUCCUCGAGUCAGCUCGGUCGGCAAAGUACCUAGUCCAAUUUCUGCCAGUAUAAUACUUAUUGAUAUGAUAUUUUUCCCAUUCGACCGUCGCGCCUCCGAACAGGCACGACGCAUUCUAAAGAAAAAAAAAACGAAAUUAUAAUAAAUUGUAAUAAAAUUGCACAUUAAAUCAAAUAAUAGUGAAUAGUAGUAAAGCAAAAAUACAUAUAUUAUUUAAAUAGGAGACAACAAAUUUCGUCAAAUGCUGAACAACAGCCCAUAAACAUUAUACAAAACAAAAAGUGCAACGGGUAUAAGUAACGAGCCGUCAUCGCAUUCAAGGUUAAAUUGAAAACCCCGAUAAACCUUCCACGAGAUCACGCAAAUAUCACCCGACGGAAAGCAUAAUUAUUACAUAUUAUGACAAUGGUUUCGGCGCCGCAUCCAGCCCGCUGGGAGGACUCCGCCGCGCUACCGUGUUGAAACCAAUGAGACUACGAAACGGCGGCGGCAAAUCGUUCCAGCACUUGGAUGCGGC
rnacentral:lncRNA from 1 species